UCCACAUCCAUUUCCAUUCAAUUCUUGAGAGACGUGCGGGAUUAGAUUUUACAUUUAAUACAUCAGUAAUUUAAAAAAAAUAUAUUUAUAAAUUAUGAGCACAAAAUUGCGCGUAGGCCGGUCGCUUCCGCCGUUCCGCCUCCUGUUAGUCGACGCUAACGCGUCUUAGAGAGCAGUCCUGUACAACUUUUUCGCGCGGUGCCGUUGUCUACUCGCAUACGUGAUUUAGUGUUAGUGAUACUAAAGUUUUUCAUAAACAUGGUGAAUUUUGGUGGCCAAAACAUUGAUGGUGAGAACAUUAGGAAGAAAAUGUUGCGAAAGCAGAUAAAAAAACUACAGUUAUUGAACCCAAAUAGCGAAGCGCGACCACGAAAAAUCCGAUGAGCAGCCUGCAAGCCAGGACGCAAUAAAAGACAAACCAUGAUUACCAGAAACUGAUGUGGAUCUUCAGACAGUUUCAUAUAGUACUUUUUUGUCACAAUGUACAAGGACAGCUCAAAAUGACGAGCAAGAAACAUAUUUAUUUUCGGAACAAGGUGAAGAAGAAAAAAUGAAAGUCGUAUCAAGAAGAUAAACAUUGGAACAAUAAAAUAGUACCAAAACCAGCAUUCGAAAAUAUCUGUUAUGUU